rnacentral:rRNA from 1 species
CAUCAAGUUAAAAAGAGCACUAGGAGAAUGCCUAGGNACCANNNNGCGANNNNNGACGUGACAAGCUGCGAAAAGCUGAGGUUAGCUGCAAAUAAGCCAAGCCUCAGAUAUCCGAAUGGGGAAACCCACCUCAAAAGAGGAAUCCUAUAGCCAAUAAAUAACUAUAGGAAGCGAACCAGGUGAACUGAAACAUCUAAGUAACCUGAGGAAGAGAAAGAAAACUCGAUUCCCAAAGUAGCGGCGAGCGAACAGGGAAGAGCCCAAACGUGUAAAAAGAGAAAAUAGCCAGUCGAAUCAUCUGGGAAGACGAACCAAAGAAGGUAACAGUCCCGUAGACGAAGGCGAAGAUAUCCGACACAAAAGAGUACCACGGAACACGAGAAAUUCAGUGGGAAUACAGGGGGACCACCCCCUAAGGCUAAAUACUANNNGGUGACCGAUAGCGAACAAGUACCGUGAGGGAAAGGUGAAAAGAACCCCGGGAGGGGAGUGAAAUAGAAUCUGAAACCUAGUGUUUACAAGCAGCGAAAGUGGCAAAAGCCACGAUCGUGUACUUUUUGUAGAACGGGCCAGCGAGUUACGAUUACAAGCAAGGUUAAACAUUAAAGAUGUGGAGCCGAAGCGAAAGCGAGUCUAAAGAGGGCAAAAGUUAGUAGUCGUAGACCCGAAACCGUGUGAUCUAUCCAUGAGCAGAGUGAAGUUGAAGUAAAAUUCAAUGGAGGCUCGAACCGGGUAGCGUUUAAAAGCUAUCGGAUGACUUGUGGAUAGGGGUGAAAAGCCAAACGAACACGGAGAUAGCUGGUUCUCCUCGAAAUAGCUUUAGGGCUAGCCUCUAGCAAGAAUGAAAAGGGGGUAGAGCACUGACUGGUCAAGGGGCAUGCAUAUGUUACCGAGACCUAUCAAACUCCGAAUACCAAAUCAUACGCUAGGGAGUCAGACUAUGGGGGAUGAGCUUCAUAGUCGAAAGGGAAAGAGCCCAGACCAUCAGCUAAGGUCCCAAAAUUAUAGUUAAGUGGGAAAGGAUGUGGAGUUACUGAGACAACUAGGAUGUUGGCUUAGAAGCAGCCACUCAUUUAAAGAGUGCGUAAUAGCUCACUAGUCAAGUGACUCUGCGCCGAAGAUAACCGGGGCUAAACUAUAUACCGAAGCUAUGGAACGAAAAACGUUGGUAGAGGAGCAAUGUAUGAAGGAAGAAGCAGAAGUUGAAAAGCACUGUGGACAUCAUACAAGAGAGAAUGCUGGCAUGAGUAGCGAGAGGUGAGUGAGAAUCUCACCCGUCGAAAACCUAAGGAUUCCUGAGCAAGGCUCGUCCACUCAGGGUAAGUCGGGACCUAAGGCGAGGCUGAAAAGCGUAGUCGAUGGACAACAGGUUGAAAAUCCUGUACCGAUACAAUCAGUGAGGAAGUGGGGACGCAGAAGGAUAAUAAGAGCGCCCAGUUGGUGAGGCGUGCAAGCGCAAAGGAUGGGAAGUAGGCAAAUCCGCUUUCCGAGAAGUCUAAAGCGUGAUGCGGAUCGAAAACAAGUAGAGAAGCUUAUAACUCCACACUGCCAAGAAAAGCCACUACAAGAGAAGUAUCGCCCGUACCGCAAACCGACACAGGUAGGUGGAGGNCGCUAGUAUNNUCAGGCGCGCGAGAGAACCCACGUUAAGGAACUCGGCAAUCUGUACCCGUAACUUUGGAAGAAGGGUAGCCCCGCACUGGUGAGCAUCUUUACGGUGCGAAGCGAGAGGGGGCCGCAGAGAAUCGGCUCAAGCGACUGUUUACCAAAAACACAGUAGGUCUCUGCGAAGUCGUAAGACGACGUAUAGGGGCUGAUGCCUGCCCAAUGCCGGAAUGUUAAGAGGAGAGGUUAGCCGCAAGGCGAAGCUUUGAAUCGAAGCACCGGUCAAUGGCGGCCGUAACUAUAACGGUCCUAAGGUAGCGAAAUUCCUUGUCGGGUAAGUUCCGACCUGCACGAAUGGCAUAACGACUUGAGCGCUGUCUCAACGUGGGACUCGGCGAAAUUGUACUACGAGUGAAGAUGCUCGUUUCUCAUAGCUUAACCUCGCAGUCAAUCGUGGAGGUCGCUAGAUGGU